AGAGGGAUCCCGAAAUCUCUGGCCUGUAUGAUGGUAUGAAAGACAGAGCCUUGAGUAAUCCGACUUACUCACUUUGGUUUGAAGUUCUUUGGCCCUCUGAUACAUAUCUGACAAGGCAGCAUAAAAUGGGCCCCUUUGUUUUUCCUUCACAUCAAACUCCUGCAUCCCAAAUAAACCAAACACUCUAGAGCACAAGUGGGAUGUGCGGUUGCCCAAUUUACAUUUUAUCUGGGUGAUUACAGCAGUCUAUGUGUAUUUGGCAACCUUCAGCCUUCAAUGAAGUUGCUGAACUCAAAAAAACUAUAGGAUCCAACUGUGAGAUGGCUAUCACAGUGUUGUAGAGGCUAGGGUCGUGCGUUGUCUGAUAGUCGUAUAAGCAUUCACACCCCACCUGAGUUGUUAACAUAGCAAGCUCUCACAUCACAUUUACUGUUGCUGCACCUUUGGUUUUGACCACAGCAACAAACCACAUCUGCUGCUUAACUGCAUGUGUGAAAAUGCAGCUGAAUUCCUGCUCAAUGGGGAAUAAUAGCCUUUGUUUCAAGUCUCUACACAGCAUUUUUCAGACUACAAACAGUGAUAAAGAGGACCCUAACAUCUUCACUGUAAGGAACAAAGCAGCAAAGAACUUGCUGUUUCUAGAAGACAGAGGUUCUUGGCUGCUUCCAAGAGGAUUUGGGAAGUCUUCAGUCAGGGCAGAGGGGAAAUACUGAAAAAGCCAGAAGAAAAUGUGGGCUUGGAAGAAUAGAAGAGGCAGGAAAGGGUACUAUGUGGGCAGCAUUCUCUUGGCAAGCUGUGUAAGUGUGACUCUUUGCUUUAUGCUUGGCACUGACCAGCUUUUCCCCCACCCAGGCUGAGAGCUAAAGAUGCCAGAUUUCUACUGUGAAAUUGCAAUGAAUGGAGGAUGUAUGCAUAUAUCAGAAAGGAGUAUAUCAUUCUCAAUAAGGACCUUCCAGCAUGAAAGUCCAGGAUAAGAUUCACUACCCUAAGUGUCUCUUCCAUAAUAUACUGAAAAGUAUACUUUCAGCAGCAAUAAGACAGUCAUCUCCCAGGGUGUAAUGAGUUUUCCCUGUGUUUAAGUGAGACUGGGAAUGCAUGGGUUUGUCUGUUUUGGAUAUUGAAAGAAGAGCUAGUGUCUCCAGACAUGAUUGAAGACGUGGAAUUGAUUUUGGAGAAAUGAACUGGGAAGAAAUGGAGGGAGAGAGAGAUAUGUCAUAGCUGAAGGUCUUAAAGAAGGGGGCAGGAUGCUGAGAGGUGAAGGCAAAGUGGGGCUGCCAGUGAAGGCAAAGGCAGCAUCCCAUCUGACCUUUCCUUCAUGAGCACUGUGACACCUUCUGAGAGUGAUGUAUUCUCCUCUCUGUUUUGCAGAGCUCCCUCCAUGCGCUGGUGCCGUCUUGCCCUGUUCUAGCCUUCCCUGCUGUGCUCUGUAGCAAUUCGCUGUCCCAGUGAGAAAACGAAAGAACAGCAAGGAGGGAGUGUUUGGUGCAUCAUGGGAUCCAGUGUCAUCCACACUGAAGAACAUGAAUUCAGCUACUGGAGGAGUUCAGAUCUGUCUGAUUUUAUAUGCAACAUUCUGGUGAUUUGGAUAGGAAGUGAAAAACACUGCUGGGAAAGCUUUUGUGUAUAUUCUUAAUGGGGAAAAUAAGUGUUUGCUUAUCUGCUUUGUUCAAGUGAGUUGGGAUUAUAAUUCUUCAAGUUUUCAUUCCUGACUGCUUUUGUAAUGGGAACAGUGUUUGCAGCGUGUUUAGUCUUCGUGGGUUUUGCUGGGUGCACUAGUCUAGCUUUAUGAAGGAUUUGCAAUUUAUAUUUGCUCAUCAAAUUGUUUUCAUAAGAAACAAAAAGGUCCCAAAAUAGGCCCAUCAGGCAAGGCUAUGAACAGUUAAAAGGAAAGGAUAAUUUUUACAUUAAGGUUUUGUAAAUUGAGUGUAGCAGUGUUGGCAAGGGAAGUCAGAAAAGUAUAUAUACUCUCAAAGGGUAACUGCUAUGGUUUAAUAGUGGAUGGCAUGCAAGAAAGAACUGAUAUAGAAGUUUGUGGGAUGCUUUUAUUCCCCAGUGGAAAACACAGAAGAAGAAAAAAUAAAAUGAAAGAGAGCAAAGGUAUGAAAAAAGCUUUAAAGGUAGCAAAAUGUACAGCACGGAAAAUGGGAACAGUUCUGUUUAAACCACUGUUUAAUAGACCUAAAUGAUUUCACUUGGCUUGUGACCUUCCAACACAAGCCAAGUUUGUUUCACAGGCUUUCUAUUUUGGAUAAUAAACAUAUGUCAGAUGAAUAAGUGCACCUGGUAUUUAGAAAUGAAAGUAAAUUUUGUGAUGAAUAAAGGUAGUGGCUUAUGUGUAAGUGGUGGUGGUUGUUAUAAUUGCGUUGAAAUAAAUGGUUUAAUUCUGAAAA